UCUCGCAAAAUGUUAAUCCAGUUGAUGUUGCAAAAAAUAUUACAGGCUUGGAUCCCGAGACAGCUUUAGUUGUUGUAGUUUCCAAUACUUUUACUACAGCUGAGACUAUGUUGAAUGCAAGGACAUUCAGGGAAUGGAUCUCAUCUACUUUAGGGUAACUACACCAUUUUGUUCUUCCUAUUCUACCCUUACUCUUUAUGUUCUCUUACAUAACUUGGUUGCCUUUUCUUUGCUGUUUAAGGCCAUAAGUUGUUUCAAAGCAUAUGGUUCCAUUCAUGAAAUGGUAAGUUUAAAAUCUCAUCUUUAAUAGUGAAUUAAAAGAAACAAAACCUUAGUCAUGUACCAUGCACAUGCUAUUGGUAGGACUAGGAGGGGUAAAAUAGUCCAAUAAAAGACUUUAGCUUUAUAUUACAUUAUUUUAAACCAAAACCUCUCAAUUUGUGUUCGUCUUCCAUAUCACAUGAAAGAUUAGUUUUAUUCUUAAUAAGCAGCCAUCAGUCUUUCCUGUUGAAUGUCCUUGAAGUCAUUCUAACUAAUACUUUGCAAAAGACAAUUAUACCCUUGUUUAUUCUUACAUGACUAAAUUAAUGUCCAGGGGCUCUUCGGUCUGUUGUGUCCAUUCUCAUUCAAUAUAUAUAUUAUUUUUUUACCAGUUUUAUCUUGUUGAUAAUUUUUUUUGGGGCAGAAUGAUAGGAAAUCUGCAGCUAUGGAAUGAAAAAUGGGUAAGAUGUGCAAAUCCUGAAAAUGAUUUUACACAAAAGAUACUAAGGUAAAUUGUGCUUUUUACUACUUUUACUUUCAUAUUUGUCAACAUUUGAUUGAGUUAUUGAUAAGGUUGGUUGCAUACGAUAAAAAAAGGGUCAAUGGCACUAGAGACCAUGAAGGUUAGUUCUGUAAUUUUCUUCCUAAUUUAAAAUUAUGCAUCUAUUUUUAUAAACGCUUAUUGUGCUAUUAGUUUUGGUGUGGUAGAUUAAACCCCAAAAGAGAAAUUUCAGAAGACCAAUAUGCAAACACGAUAUUUUCUUUCACCAACAGGUUUUUUCAUAUAUUUUUUGGUCCGAAUCGGAAUCCAAUUCCAAUCUACUCCUGCAUUUAGUUUAGCUUCCAACAAACACCAUGUCUCUUUCUAUUGCAGGAAAAAGUAAGUAGAACUUUGUUAGCUUAAUUCCAUGGGAUUUAACGGGAAUCGGAAUCCAAGUCUAUUAUGAUCCUUCUUUCAGAUGCAAGAUGUAUAUGGAAAUGCAAAAUAUGAGACGAAAUUGAGAUUAUGGCACAUUAUAUUUGAAAAUAAAAUAUCAAUCAAUAUUAAACUUUUGAUAUUUGAUGAUUUUGAUCCUUUUGGUAAAACAUUGAUAUUUGAUAUUUUUGGAUGUUUUGUUAAAAUUUGAUAGUUGAUUUUGGUAAUUUAAUAUUAGUGUUUGGUUUUGGAUUGUAUAA